GGGCCAUAGCUUAGUGGUAGAGCAUCUGUUUUGCAUGCAAAAGGUCUUGGGUCCAUUCCCAAACAUCUCCG